rnacentral:rRNA from 1 species
CUGUACCACCUAUAAUCGUUUUAAUCGAUGGGGGGACGCAGUAGGAUAGGCGAAGCGUGCGAUUGGAUUGCACGUCUAAGCAGUAAGGCUGAGUAUUAGGCAAAUCCGGUACUCGUUAAGGCUGAGCUGUGAUGGGGAGAAGACAUUGUGUCUUCGAGUCGUUGAUUUCACACUGCCGAGAAAAGCCUCUAGAUAGAAAAUAGGUGCCCGUACCGCAAACCGACACAGGUAGUCAAGAUGAGAAUUCUAAGGUGAGCGAGCGAACUCUCGUUAAGGAACUCGGCAAAAUGACCCCGUAACUUCGGGAGAAGGGGUGCUCUUUAGGGUUAACGCCCAGAAGAGCCGCAGUGAAUAGGCCCAAGCGACUGUUUAUCAAAAACACAGGUCUCUGCUAAACCGUAAGGUGAUGUAUAGGGGCUGACGCCUGCCCGGUGCUGGAAGGUUAAGAGGAGUGGUUAGCUUCUGCGAAGCUACGAAUCGAAGCCCCAGUAAACGGCGGCCGUAACUAUAACGGUCCUAAGGUAGCGAAAUUCCUUGUCGGGUAAGUUCCGACCCGCACGAAAGGCGUAACGAUUUGGGCACUGUCUCAACGAGAGACUCGGUGAAAUCAUAGUACCUGUGAAGAUGCAGGUUACCCGCGACAGGACGGAAAGACCCCGUGGAGCUUUACUGUAGCCUGAUAUUGAAAUUCGGCACAGCUUGUACAGGAUAGGUA